GAACGCUAGCGGCAGGCCUAAUACAUGCAAGUCGAACGGUGGUAGCAAUACCAUAGUGGCGCACGGGUGCGUAACGCGUAACCAACCUGCCCUUGACUGGGGGAUAGCCCGCCGAAAGGCGGAUUAAUACCGCAUAUACCAGCAGCCUGGCAUCAGGCAAUUGGGAAAGAUUUAUUGGUCAAGGAUGGGGUUGCGUAGCAUUAGCUAGUUGGCGGGGUAACGGCCCACCAAGGCGACGAUGCUUAGGGGACCUGAGAGGGUGAUCCCCCACACUGGCACUGAGAUACGGGCCAGACUCCUACGGGAGGCAGCAGUAGGGAAUAUUGGGCAAUGGACGAGAGUCUGACCCAGCCAUGCCGCGUGCCGGAUGAAGGCCUUCUGGGUUGUAAACGGCUUUUCUCAGGGAAGAAAAAGCUCCUGCGGGAGACACUGACGGUACCUGAGGAAUAAGCACCGGC
rnacentral:rRNA from 1 species